rnacentral:rRNA from 1 species
AUUGAACGCUGGCGGCAGGCCUAACACAUGCAAGUCGAACGAGUGGCGGACGGGUGAGUAAGGUCUGGGAAACUGCCCGAGGGAGGGGGAUAACGACUGGAAACGGUAGCUAAUACCGCAUACCAUCGGAUGUGCCCAGAUGGGAUUAGCUAGUAGGGGGGGUAACGGCUAACCGAGGCGACGAGCCCUAGCUGGUCUGAGAGGAUGACCAGCCACACUGGAACUGAGACACGGUCCAGACUCCCACGGAAGGCAGACGUGGGGAAUAUUGCACAAUGGGCGCAAGCCUGAUGCAGCCAUGCCGCGUGUAUGAAGAAGGCCUUCGGGUUGUAAAGUACUUGCAGCGAGGAGGCGUUACUCGCAGAAGAAGCACCGGCUAACUCCGUGCCAGCAGCCGCGGUAAUUC